AUUGAACGCUGGCGGCAUGCCUUACACAUGCAAGUCGAACGGUAACGCGGGGCAACCUGGCGACGAGUGGCGAACGGGUGAGUAAUGUAUCGGAACGUGCCCAGUUGUGGGGGAUAACUGCUCGAAAGAGCAGCUAAUACCGCAUACGACCUGAGGGUGAAAGCGGGGGAUCGCAAGACCUCGCGCAAUUGGAGCGGCCGAUAUCAGAUUAGGUAGUUGGUGGGGUAAAGGCUCACCAAGCCAACGAUCUGUAGCUGGUCUGAGAGGACGACCAGCCACACUGGGACUGAGACACGGCCCAGACUCCUACGGGAGGCAGCAGUGGGGAAUUUUGGACAAUGGACGCAAGUCUGAUCCAGCCAUGCCGCGUGCGGGAGGAAGGCCUUCGGGUUGUAAACCGCUUUUGUCAGGGAAGAAACGCUCUGGGUUAAUACCUCGGGGUAAUGACGGUACCUGAAGAAUAAGCACCGGCUAACUACGUGCCAGCCGCCGCGGUAAAAC
rnacentral:rRNA from 1 species